rnacentral:rRNA from 1 species
UACAGAGACUGCAAGCGUUAUUCGGAUUCACUGGGCGUAAAGGGUGCGCAGGCGGUCGGGUGUGUCAGAUGUGAAAUCCCGAGGCUCAACCUCGGAACUGCGUCUGAAACUACUCGACUAGAGUACUGGAGAGGGUAACGGAAUUCACGGUGUAGCAGUGAAAUGCGUAGAUAUCGUGAGGAACACCAGAGGCGAAGGCAGGUCUCUGGGCCGCAACUGACGCUGAGGAGCGAAAGCAUGGGGAGCGAACAGG